UCAGGUUGUAUCGUAAUUGGUAACGAGUCUACAUUGGGUGUAGGAGACUAGGGGUUCGAGUCCUCUCAACCUGAU
rnacentral:tRNA from 1 species